AGUGAACGCUGGCGGUAGGCCUAACACAUGCAAGUCGAACGGCAGCACAGUAAGAGCUUGCUCUUACGGGUGGCGAGUGGCGGACGGGUGAGGAAUACAUCGGAAUCUACUUUUUCGUGGGGGAUAACGUAGGGAAACUUACGCUAAUACCGCAUACGACCUACGGGUGAAAGCAGGGGAUCUUCGGACCUUGCGCGAUUGAAUGAGCCGAUGUCGGAUUAGCUAGUUGGCGGGGUAAAGGCCCACCAAGGCGACGAUCCGUAGCUGGUCUGAGAGGAUGAUCAGCCACACUGGAACUGAGACACGGCCCAGACUCCUACGGGAGGAAGCAGUGGGGAAUAUUGGACAAUGGGCGCAAGCCUGAUCCAGCCAUACCGCGUGGGUGAAGAAGGCCUUCGGGUUGUAAAGCCCUUUUGUUGGGAAAGAAAAGCAGCAGGUUAAUACCCCGCUGUUCUGACGGUACCCAAAGAAUAAGCACCGGCUAACUUCGUG
rnacentral:rRNA from 1 species